rnacentral:tRNA from 11 species
GCGCCCUUAGCUCAGCUGGAUAGAGCAACGCCCUUCUAAGGCGUGGGUCGCAGGUUCGAAUCCUGCAGGGCGCGCCA